GACGAACGCUGGCGGCGUGCCUAAUACAUGCAAGUAGAACGCUGAAGGAGGAGCUUGCUUCUCCGGAUGAGUUGCGAACGGGUGAGUAACGCGUAGGUAACCUGCCUGGUAGCGGGGGAUAACUAUUGGAAACGAUAGCUAAUACCGCAUAAGAGUAGAUGUCGCAUGACAUUUGCUUAAAAGGUGCAACUGCACCACUACCAGAUGGCCCUGCGUUGUAUUAGCUAGUUGGUGAGGUAACGGCUCACCAAGGCAACGAUACAUAGCCGACCUGAGAGGGUGAUCGGCCACACUGGGACUGAGACACGGCCCAGACUCCUACGGGAGGCAGCAGGAGGGAAUCUUCGGCAAUGGACGGAAGUCUGACCGAGCAACGCCGCGUGAGGGAAGAAGGGUGUCGGAUCGUAAAGCUCUGUUGUAAGAGAAGAACGAGUGUGAGAGUGGAAAGUUCACACUGUGACGGUAUCUUACCAGAAAGGGACGGCUAACUACGUG
rnacentral:rRNA from 1 species